UGCCAGCAGCCGCGGUAAUACGGAGGGUGCGAGCGUUGUCCGGAAUUAUUGGGUUUAAAGGGUACGUAGGCGGUUGAAUAAGUCUAAGUUGAAAUGCUGCAGCUUAACUGUAGCACUGGCUUGGAUACUGUUCAACUUGAGUAUUGUAGAGGUAGGCGGAAUUUAUGAUGUAGCGGUGAAAUGCAUAGAUAUCAUAAAGAACUCCAAUUGCGAAGGCAGCUUACUGGACAAUAACUGACGCUGAUGUACGAAAGCGUGGGUAGCGAACAGGAUUAGAUA
rnacentral:rRNA from 1 species